GCCUGGGAUAGCUCACUCGGUAGAGUAUGAGACCCUAAAUCGCAGGGUUGUGGGUUCGAGCACCCACAUUAGGCA